AGGCUGCAACCCGCCUGCAUGAAGUCGGAAUUGCUAGUAAUCGCGGAUCAGCAUGCCGCGGUGAAUACGUUCCCGGGCCUUGUACACACCGCCCGUCACACCAUGGGAGCCGGUAAUACCCGAAGUCAGUAGUCCAACCACGUGAGGACGCUGCCGAAGGUAGGAUUGGCGACUGGGGUGAAGUCGUAACAAGGUAUC
rnacentral:rRNA from 1 species